rnacentral:lncRNA from 1 species
GGGCGGCGCGGCGGCACCCGGGACGCGCGGCGGCGGGAGGAAGGAAGGAAGGAAGGGAGGGAGGGAGCGGGAGAGCGGCGCUGGCGAGGAGGAGCCGCCGCCUCAUCCUGCGGCACCGGCCCGGCGAGCGCAGGUGGCAGUGUAGAAGCCAAGAACAAAAAUUGGCAGAAACUGUAUUCUGUGUGCGAGAAUAUGAAGAGUGUACUCAUGACUAAGCACAGAAACCUGGAAAACCACAGGCUUAAGUCAGGUGAUCCUUGAUGAGUAGUCAGCCCACCAAGAAGGCACUUCAGCACACAGGUCGUGUUGGAUUAAUGCUGUGGAUCGGUCAACCCAGAACCUGUAGUUGCCCAUC